rnacentral:rRNA from 1 species
GACGAACGCUGGCGGCGUGCUUAACACAUGCAAGUCGAACGGAAAGGCCCUGCUUUUGUGGGGUGCUCGAGUGGCUAACGGGUGAGUAACACGUGAGUAACCUGCCCUUGACUUUGGGAUAACUUCAGGAAACUGGGGCUAAUACCGGAUAGGAGCUCCUGCUGCAUGGUGGGGGUUGGAAAGUUUCGGCGGUUGGGGAUGGACUCGCGGCUUAUCAGCUUGUUGGUGGGGUAGUGGCUUACCAAGGCUUUGACGGGUAGCCGGCCUGAGAGGGUGACCGGCCACAUUGGGACUGAGAUACGGCCCAGACUCCUACGGGAGGCAGCAGUGGGGAAUAUUGCACAAUGGGCGGAAGCCUGAUGCAGAAACGCCGCGUGCGGGAUGACGGCCUUCGGGUUGUAAACCGCUUUCGCCUGUGACGAAGCGUGAGUGACGGUAAUGGGUAAAGAAGCACCGGCUAACUACGUG